AAAAAAAAAAACGAGUGUACGAGGGAGACAGAGAGGGAUGCGUUUUUUUAGCUUUUUCUUUUGUGUGACGUUGUAUAAAAACCCAGCCCUUUUCCAGCGAAUACCCAGUUGCGGUAAUCUUUCAAGUUCCGUAAUUUUUUUGGCCCCCCUCCCCCUCCCAUGUGACUCCUCUCUCUCUAUUUCUCUUUUAUCUUCAUGAGUGAUUUUCCUAUGUGUUUCUCUUAUGUCUCAUAUUCAGUCUUUUUUUUUUUUUUUAUCAAAACAAUUUUUUUGGCCAUUCUUGAGAUGGACUUAAAACAGACAUUGACAGUGAAGCAAAUCUAAGUCCUCUCUAUCUAUAUCUCUCUUUCCCUCACUUCUGUAAAUCUUUAGGCUGUCCAAAACCAGCGACCCAAAUCAAAGUGAAGCUUUGAGAAGCUGAGUUUUAAAGCUUUUCUGGAUGUGGGUUCUUGAGUUCAUCAUCAAUUAACUGAGGAAUCUGGUUGCAAUCAGAAUCUAUGAACGUAAGAUCCAGAAGUGUUGUGGUAAGAUCCGACUUGCUCUUCUGUGACAAUGAAUGUUAGAGAGGAGCAUUACCUCUGUUUUUUCGGGCUUAGAAAUCCUCGAAAUGAAGGCCAUGAUGCACUGUAAUAAUGAGAGACGUGGAUCAGGUUUGCUGUAUCUUCUCGUUUGAAUUUAUUUACUUUAAGUUAUAAAAUGAACUUCAAAAACUUAUGUAGAGCCCUAGUAUAGCGUAAGCAAAUGAAACUUUCUGUCCAAAAGCUUUAGUUUCCAUGAUAGUAUGAUACACAUACUCAAUUACAUGAUUAUAGACUUUGUGGGCUCCCGACAUCCUCAAUUUACUGCAUAAAGGAUGUAUUCUGAAGUAUAUAUGAAUGGUGUUGCAUUUAAUUUUUGAA